rnacentral:rRNA from 1 species
UACGUAGGGUGCGAGCGUUAAUCGGAAUUACUGGGCGUAAAGCGUGCGCAGGCGGUUUGCCAAGUCAGAUGUGAAAGCCCCGGGCUUAACCUGGGAAUGGCGUUUGAAACUGGCAGGCUAGAGUUUGGCAGAGGGGGGUGGAAUUCCACGUGUAGCAGUGAAAUGCGUAGAGAUGUGGAGGAACACCGAUGGCGAAGGCAGCCCCCUGGGCCAAAACUGACGCUCAUGCACGAAAGCGUGGGGAG